rnacentral:rRNA from 1 species
UACGUAGGGUGCAAGCGUUGUCCGGAAUUAUUGGGCGUAAAGAGCUCGUAGGCGGUUUGUCGCGUCUGCUGUGAAAACUCGGGGCUUAACCCCGGGCCUGCAGUGGGUACGGGCAGACUAGAGUGCGGUAGGGGAGACUGGAAUUCCUGGUGUAGCGGUGAAAUGCGCAGAUAUCAGGAGGAACACCGGUGGCGAAGGCGGCCACCUGGGCCGGAACUGACGCUGAGGCGCGAAAGCGUGGGGAGCAAACGGG